GGUGCAGAUGAUGUCUUUUAGCGAUCAAAGCAUGAGAAUUUAUGAUUAUCACAAUUUUUGUACUGAUGCACC